UUUUAAUUUUAUGGAUGAUCUAUUACCCAUGAAAAUUAUAAAAAACAUUAUAAAUGGAUCAUUUUGACUGUUCAAUCUAGGUUUAGGUUCCACGCAAAUAAAACGGGUGAAGGAGAAAAAUUGAUUGCAAGAACAAAUAAAAAAACGCCACUUGUCAAUAAGUUUUUCAAUUCUUUUUAAAAUCUAUUUCUUCCAUCUUCUCCAAAUCACUAUUGAACUGCAAUUGAAGCUUUGGGAGGAAAAAGAAAGACAUUGAUCUCAAUAAAAUUGGCUCAAAAAGACACACCAUUAACCACAUGGCAACUGAUGACCAUCGGAUCAAAAUGAGGUUGUCCAGUCGAAUGCGAAGGAAUGUAAAAGAAGAUCAAAUGAUGUACGUACAUAUGAAAAGAAGAUUAGGAGACGACUAUGAAGAGAUUUUAGGAGGACAAAGGUAAUAUCGUUAUUGAUCAAUUAACAUACAUAUUUUUUGGUAAUGCUUUUUUUUUUUUAAUUUAAAUAGUUUAAAAUUAAAAUUUUACUAAUUUGAUUUUACAAAAAAAAUUAAUUGAUAUUUCCUUUUCACUACUUAAAGCACGUUGAAGCAACAAGUUGGCGUUGCUCCUCCUGCUUUGGUUAUGGAUUUUAAGGAAGAAAAUAAGUAACACCAUUACAUGAUUUUUGCUUAUAUCACAUGUACUAUAGUUUCUAUAUAAUAUCCGUCACAAAUUCUUCAAAAAUGAUGUAUUAUUAAAGGAUCCAAUGCAGGUGUAAUGAUAUUUUUAAAAAUUCAUUAUCAUUAAUUUAUUAAUCAUCAAUCAUUUAUAAUAUAAUAAAAUAAUAUUAUAUUUUUAUUAUUUUCUUCUUUUAGCUACU